UUGUGGGGAAAACUCCAUAGUUAAGCGCGCUUGAGCCAGAGGCGUCUUGGGAUGGGUGACCACCUGGGAAGUCCUGGUUACCGGGUGCA
rnacentral:rRNA from 1 species